GCACCGGUGGCUUAGUAGUGAGAGCGUCCGCCUCGGAUGCGGGAGGUCGCAGGUUCGAACCCCGGCUCAGGCA